AGGGGAAACGCAGAAGGCCCAGGAAACAGAAUACUAAUGUGUCAGACAGAGGAAAGGAUACACAAGUCUAUACAAUGGAUGCCAACGUUUCUCAGAUCAAUAUGGUAGAAAGUUUCCCACCAGAUAACCAGGUAGUAGAGGAAAGCAUUCAUGAUGAUCCCGCUAGACUGUUUGGGUUGAUCCGUGCCAAGAGAGAGCCUGUAAUCUAACUGGACCAUCAUCCAUCUCAAUGAUAACACCCUAUGAAAGAUGGUUAAAAUCCCUCAUGUGACACACAGGGACUGGCAAGGUGACGGUCUGCUCAUUUGUCAAUGGGAUGGUACCUUCCUUUCUCUUCAUGGAUUGCAUCCCUGCACAUUAAAUCUAACUAAAAUUAGCUAGAUAAAUUCAGUUAAAGAAUAUCCAAAUAGGAAAAGUAAAAUAAUAAAAUCCAGUUUGCAACUUAAAUUACUUGGCAAUAAAAUAAAAAUGAACAGUAAUACCUAAUAAGGACAAAUUUUUAAAAAUCAAAGUACAUAUGUGCUAUAGGAUAUCUUGAAUGAAAGAGAAAAGCCAGUGUCUUAAAAGUUUAAUCAGUAAAACACAUCUUCUUUCAUCAAUGUGAAUAAAUAAUUAGAAAUGCAUUGGAAAUGUAAUUGAGGAAAAUAUGUAAUAAAAAAAAUUAAAAAAAACAAAGUACACUGCCAAGAAAAUUAGAAUAAUCCUGAGUAUUUUUCCAAAAUGUAAAUAAUAUUAUCAUUUUUUAAACUGUUAUAAAAAUAAAUCCAUGCUCUUUGCAACAAUUAAAAAUUAAGAACAUAGAAAAUUCUACUAGUCAGAGAUAAUCACUAUGAAUAACUUUCUCUGUGUUUUUGGAUAUUUUACUGGACAUAACCAUCUAUGUGUAUCAGCCUUUUUUUUUUCUGAUUUAACUUAAAAGUAGGGGAUUGUGCAUAUUAUUUAAAUUCUCUUUGUGUAUCAAGAGACUAUGGCUUUAGUUCUACUACAUUUAACUAUAUUAACCUGUAUUCAGCUUUGUAUUUGAUGAUUCUGGGCAGCAAACACAGGGUCUUUCAGAUGAAAGACGAGUGCUCCAUCCUGAGCUUCAUCCCAAGUCUGUCUCAAAAUUCUGAUGUCUGCAUUGUAUCUCAUUUAUGAUUAAAUCAUAAUUCAUUUAAAGG
rnacentral:lncRNA from 1 species